AACGAACGCUGGCGGCAUGCCUAACACAUGCAAGUCGAACGAGACCUUCGGGUAUAGUGGCGCACGGGUGCGUAACGCGUGGGAACCUGCCCUUAGGUUCGGAAUAACUCCCCGAAAGGGGUGCUAAUACCGGAUAAUGUCUUCGGACCAAAGAUUUAUCGCCUUUGGAUGGGCCCGCGUUGGAUUAGCUAGUUGGUAGGGUAAAAGCCUACCAAGGCGACGAUCCAUAGCUGGUCUGAGAGGAUGAUCAGCCACACUGGGACUGAGACACGGCCCAGACUCCUACGGGAGGCAGCAGUGGGGAAUAUUGGAAAAUGGGCGAAAGCCUGAUCCAGCAAUGCCGCGUGAGUGAUGAAGGCCUUAGGGUUGUAAAGCUCUUUUACCCGGGAUGAUAAUGACAGUACCGGGAGAAUAAGCUCCGGCUAACUCCGUG
rnacentral:rRNA from 1 species